UACGUAGGGUGCAAGCGUUAAUCGGAAUUACUGGGCGUAAAGCGUGCGCAGGCGGUGAUGUAAGACCGAUGUGAAAUCCCCGGGCUUAACCUGGGAACUGCAUUGGUGACUGCAUUGCUGGAGUAUGGCAGAGGGGGGGUGGAAUUCCACGUGUAGCAGUGAAAUGCGUAGAGAUGUGGAGGAACACCGAUGGCGAAGGCAGCCCCCCUGGGCCAAUACUGACGCUCAUGCACGAAAGCGUGGGGAGCGAACAGG
rnacentral:rRNA from 1 species